GAUGAACGCUGGCGGCGUGCCUAAUACAUGCAAGUCGAGCGAACGGACGAGAAGCUUGCUUCUCUGAUGUUAGCGGCGGACGGGUGAGUAACACGUGGAUAACCUCCCUAUAAGACUGGGAUAACUUCGGGAAACCGGAGCUAAUACCGGAUAAUAUUUUGAACCGCAUGGUUCAAAAGUGAAAGACGGUCUUGCUGUCACUUAUAGAUGGAUCCGCGCUGCAUUAGCUAGUUGGUAAGCUAACGGCUUACCAAGGCAACGAUGGUUAGCCGACCUGAGAGAGUAGUCGUCCACGUGGGAACUGAGACACGCGCCAGACUCCUACGGGAGGCAGCAGUAGGGAUUCUUCCGCAAUGGGCGAAAGCCUGACGGAGCAACGCCGCGUCGGUGAUGAAGGUCUUCGGAUCGUAAAACUCUGUUAUUAGGGAAGAACAUAUGUGUAAGUAACUGUGCCCAUCUUGACGGUACCUAAUCAGAAAGCCACGGCUAACUACGUG
rnacentral:rRNA from 1 species